AUCAAUUCCAAUUCCCAUUCCAUUUUAACAAACUAUAACAUACACUAACUCAACUUCUAACUUCACAUUCAAAUCCAACACUAGCAGUCCUUUUUUUUUUACACUACAACAACUGACUUUCAUCACGGCUAACUAAUUCAAAUAGGAUUAACAGAACUCAACAGAAUCUAACAGAGUUAUCCUUCUAACUGUUUUUCCCUUGGGAAAUUUAACAGAGUGAACUACCCUAACGGAGCUACCCGAAUUGCCCAUUUCAGUUACGUUUCAAACUUCUAUAAAAUUCAACUCUCAUCAUUCACAAAAAGGGGGAUUCAAGGAUUUUUUGCAAUCAUUACACAAUCCAUCACAAAAUGUUCACUCUAUCUGAACUCUCCCUCUGAAUUCUCAUGCUCACCACUCUCAACCACAAUAUCAUAAAGCAAGCAAGACAACAGAAAAGAAGGGACAAAUUCCUACAGACUAAGAAUUUGGAGAAGAAGAAAAAGAAGCUCAGGGUAGUAGAAGAAGGUUGAAAGUUCGAGUUUCUUACCUCUGAUUUCUGUCGUCUUCAUCAGCUUCAAGAUACGACAGUUUCCACAUCGACCUCUGCCUUGAAGUUCGAAGAAUGCUUUAAGUUUUUGUUGAAAUUGUUGAGGGAAAUGGAAAAAGGAGAUGGACAUGAGUCUA